rnacentral:rRNA from 1 species
AAUAGAUACCCCGGUAGUCCACGCCGUAAACGAUGGAUACUAGCUGUUUGAGCGCAAGUUUGAGUGGCUAAGCGAAAGUGAUAAGUAUCCCACCCGGGGAGUACGGGCGCAAGCCUGAAACUCAAAGGAAUUGACGGGGGCCCGCACAAGCGGUGGAGCAUGUGGUUUAAUUCGAUGAUACGCGAGGAACCUUACCAGGGCUUAAAUGUAGAUUGACGUAUUUGGAAACAGAUAUUUCUUCGGACAAUUUACAAGGUGCUGCAUGGUUGUCGUCAGCUCGUGCCGUGAGGUGUCAGGUUAAGUCCUAUAACGAGCGCAACCCCUGUUGUUAGUUGCCAGCGAGUAAUGUCGGGAACUCUAGCAAGACUGCCAGUGUAAACUGUGAGGAAGGUGGGGAUGACGUCAAAUUAUCACGGCCCUUACGUCCUGGGCCACACACGUGCUACAAUGGCCGGUACAGAGAGCAGCCACUUAGCGAUAAGGAGCGAAAUCUAUAAAGCCGGUCACAGUUCGGAUCGGAGU